GUCUUCGUAGCUCAGUUGGUUAGAGCGUCCGACUGUUACCGCAACCUGUUGCACAGUCGCCCAUCGGGAGGUCGACAGUUCAAACCUGUCCGAGGACG
rfam:Rhodotorula graminis WP1 unplaced genomic scaffold RHOBAscaffold_4, whole genome shotgun sequence.